rnacentral:sRNA from 11 species
GCCGCAGGCAACGACCCGAAGGGCGAAGCGCGCAGCGCUGAGUCAUCCUUCCCCCACCACCA